UUCCUCCUUAUUUUCGUUCUCUCUCUCUCUCUCCCAUCUUCUCUUCUCUCUCUUUUCCCUGAAACCCUAGAAUCACAAAAAGAACAAACCCUAAAAUUCUCUCUCCAUUUUGAUUCAGAUCUAUAAACAUUGAAGAAGGAUAUCAAUCCUCUCGCCGUCAUCACCAUCGUGUAUUUUUUCACCGUCAUCUCUUCUCUUUGAAUCUGUAUCUUCUUGCCGACAAAAGAUUUUCUUUUCAGAUUUUCUUUUCUCUGUUAUCCUCUCUCUCUCUUUUCCCUUCAAACCCUACCACCAUUGUCUCUCAUUUUCUUUCAAUUUCAAUAUCACUGUCAUUUCAUUCCUUUCCAACUCAGUUCUGAAUUUCGAUUUCCAUUUCAAGCUUUUACCACUGUUUCUAAGUUAUGAGAUUUUUUAUUCAGUAGGAGGUUUGAAGUUGGAAAAAUAUACAAAUAGAAAGGGACGGCGAAGAAGUUAAGCGAGGUGCCUCAUAGGUAAAGUUCAACAACUAUCAAAACCUUAGUUGCAGAACUACCAACCUCUGUUGCAACAAGAUUCGUCACUAUUUCAACAAACAACUCUCUAUGAUCGAUUUUCAUCUCUUCAUAUUGCUACUGCUAAUGGCCAUAUCGAGACUCAUUUGAAGAGUCCAUGGGAAGAGGAAGUUUGCAAGGGCUUUAGCAGAGGUACAAAGAGACAUUGCAUUUUACGGCCAUGUCCUAACUAUGAAAGAGUAUUCCCCAUUUAUCAGGUAUAAUACUAUUCUCAC